AAUCCACUAUUGGGGAACUAGGAAGUGAAUUGAACAGAGACGUGCAGUCUGCUGUGGUACAAACAAUAAGAGCUAAAGGCUGAAACCUAAGUUGCGUGUCCAAGGUGUGCCCACUGAGCAAGUUCAACAAAUUAAACUUUUGGCUGUAACGAUUGCAAAUUGUCAUGGUCAAAGCAUACUGAAGCUAUUUUUAAAGUGUUCCAAGUUCAAUAUAAGGUGACCAGAGCUCAUGUCAUUAGUCUUCAGUUUGGUCUAAUGCCCCUAGCACUCACAUUAAGAUAUUACAAACAGCUCCAAACAAUGCAGCCCUCUAUGCUCUUAGUUAUUCUUAUAGAACACAUGUUGGUUAUUUGCGUAAAUGUUUAUCUUGGCUUAAAGUAACAGACAAAUUGGAAGUCUCAAUCCUUACUUGCUUAGAGUAGAGUCUUUUCUGUUAGUAAGUUGCAGGAAAUCUUAUAAAACUUUGAUUUUGGAUGGACAUUAUUAUACUUGGCUAACUAUAGGAGGUAAAUAUAUAUUGCGUUUUCAAGUGCAUUGAAAAAUGUUCUAAUACAUAGAGCCAUUCUCUCACUUGUAUAUGUAAUUCAGGAAACAAGCAAAGAAGAAUUUAAAUGUCUCCAUGAACUCCUACUCAAACCCCAUCCACAUCUUAUAUGCAGAUAUAAAGCCAUGUUGUAAUAUACACAGGUAUUAUAUCAAUCACACUUAAAUGUUGAAUUGAUGUAAUAAUGGUUAAGUUGGGUUCAUUUAUAGUACUGUAUUUUGUUGACAUAGGCUAUAGAUCACAGUUUGCUCCUCAGUCCCUUCAGCCACACACUCUCAUCCCCAGCCCUCUGCAUUACUCUUUUUAACUCCCCAGACUUGGCAACCUCAAGCUGUCCACCAGAUGCCAUCUGACUUUUCCUCCUUUCCCUGUCACCUGACUACCACACCCAACUACACACCUGGGCCGAUUUCAUCCCCAACAAAACGUAGCAAAACGUUUAUUUAAAAGGAGACAGUGGUGCCUUAAUCACCCUAUUGUGCACGCAAGCUCACUUCACUGACCCUUUAAUAUGGCUUUUAAUACAAGUUGCUACUGAUUGGGUAACACCUCUGACACACCCACCAAAUGACAGAAAUAGUGCUUCAAGUGUUGUUCAAACCCCAUUGCACACAAUUGCACACCGUCGUUGAACUGUAGCAAACUGUUGCAUAACUUUUUAAGAUUGAACUUACCAAUUCUCACUUCCCUCAUCAGCUCUGAAGUUACCUGGCCUACUCCGCCCACUCCUCACCUGCAAUUAAUUCCCUCAUCAGCCACUUACAAUAUAUACCAGUUAAUUUCCUUUGUUUAUUUGUCAGUUCACCCUAGUUCCAAUGUGGUUAGUUAGCUUGUUUUUGCUUUGCCUUACCUUACCUGGACUUGUAUCUGCCUAACUGCCUGUUACCUGUUUGUUGCCUGCCUGUCUGUACCUGCCAGUAAGCUCAUUUAUGCUGCAAUAAAAUUCAUUGAACUGCGCCUGUUUCUUCCUGCCCUGGCAAACCCACCUUGACAAUCCAAGGUGCCAACUCUGCCGUCACUGAUUGUACUUCGUGUUCCCACGUCCAGCAUCCCAAAGGAGCACCUGUGUGGCAGUCAAAACACAGAAAAUAAUCAAAAAGUUUCUUCUCAUGUUCUAAAUAUUAUGAUAUCCAUAUUUGUUGAUACCUCUUUCUUGACACUUGUUUUCCUUAAUCCAGAUGCUCUUCUAAAUAAAAAAAUAUUUCACUGCAGACAAUACAAACUGCCUGUCUGCAAACAACAUUAUACAGAUUCAGUCACAAUUGUAUUUUUAGCCCAGACAAUGGUGGUCCGCUAUGUUUCCAUUAUUGCUAUUAGAGACAGAGUUCAGUAAAA